AUUGAACGCUGGCGGCAGGCCUAACACAUGCAAGUCGAGCGGUAGAGAGGUGCUUGCAUCUCUUGAGAGCGGCGGACGGGUGAGUAAUGCCUAGGAAUCUGCCUAGUGGUGGGGGAUAACGUUCGGAAACGGACGCUAAUACCGCAUACGUCCUACGGGAGAAAGCGGGGGAUCUUCGGACCUCGCGCCAUUAGAUGAGCCUAGGUCGGAUUAGCUAGUUGGUGAGGUAAUGGCUCACCAAGGCGACGAUCCGUAACUGGUCUGAGAGGAUGAUCAGUCACACUGGAACUGAGACACGGUCCAGACUCCUACGGGAGGCAGCAGUGGGGAAUAUUGGACAAUGGNGAAAGCCUGAUCCAGCCAUGCCGCGUGUGUGAAGAAGGUACUUCGGA
rnacentral:rRNA from 1 species